rnacentral:rRNA from 1 species
AUUGAACGCUGGCGGCAGGCCUAACACAUGCAAGUCGAACGGUAGCACAGAGAGCUUGCUCUCGGGUGACGAGUGGCGGACGGGUGAGUAACGUCUGGGAAACUGCCCGAUGGAGGGGGAUAACUACUGGAAACGGUAGCUAAUACCGCAUAACGUCGCAAGACCAAAGUGGGGGACCUUCGGGCCUCACACCAUCGGAUGUGCCCAGAUGGGAUUAGCUAGUAGGUGGGGUAAUGGCUCACCUAGGCGACGAUCCCUAGCUGGUCUGAGAGGAUGACCAGCCACACUGGAACUGAGACACGGUCCAGACUCCUACGGGAGGCAGCAGUGGGGAAUAUUGCACAAUGGGCGCAAGCCUGAUGCAGCCAUGCCGCGUGUAUGAAGAAGGCCUUCGGGUUGUAAAGUACUUUCAGCGGGGAGGAAGGCGGUGAAGUUAAUAACUUCACCGAUUGACGUUACCCGCAGAAGAAGCACCGGCUAACUCCGUGCCAGCAGCCGCGGUAAUAC